ACAGAAUUUUACUGUUUAAACAUUUUACAAGAUGUAGCUGUAAUUCGCAAUGCAUUAUGGGUCAAAUAAGGUUUUACAGUUGUUAACUGUAUAUUUCCAUGUCAACUGUAAUUAAUUUACAAGAAGCAGGUGUUAUCACUGUAGCUCCUGCUUUUUACACUACUUUACUGUAGUGUGGCAUUAUGGGAUUGCGCGCGCAUCGUUCAAAUCUGAAAUCCAGCACUGGAGCAGUGCCAGAACGAUUGAAGAUUAGAGGCUUUAUUCAUAAUUCCUGGUGCAAAGAAUAGCAGCUGAUGUGGAGAAAUGUUUGAUGCUUCAAGACUCUCUGAAGCUGAUUAUAUUAGGUGCACCCAGUGGCUUUUGACUAGGCCUAUCCGAGGGUCACAUGGUUGUGAAUUCAUACCUCAACUUUGUGGCUGGAUUUUCAGUCUUAUUACAACUUCAAUCUGGCGUCCCGGGAGCAGGCAUCUUUUGCACACUUGAAUUAAUUUCAAAGAUGUUUUGUUGGAAUCACAACACUCACUGGAUACAAGACGGAUACACAGAGGCAAAACAAGUGGAAAGGUCUCAGAGAAGAGGGACAGCCCUCAUGUGUGUGCUCAUCUCAGAAAGUUGAUGGACUUUCAUUCAGAGAUCUGGCGGUGAUAGUGAAUCACAAAAGCAACUACAACUGCAGCCAGGAUCAGCAGAACAGCAGCAGCUAUCCCAACUAUGAUACCCAGAGAUAGACCUGGAUCAGGAACAGCUGAAGAGAGACAGCGAAAGUGUGGAUCUGAGAAGACUUCAAAUGCUGCGAUUUACAGGACGCAAUAUUGAUCAUGAUUGAGGUGUCAAGUGGUUGACAUGCAAUUUUUGGUGUAGUCACACAGGUCAGCACAUAGUUUUACUCUGUUAAAGGUGGUUGACCAAAGCAGAAUAUCAUAAAUAUAAAAUCUACGAAAAAAAAAGGUUAUUAUAUAUGUUUUGUUAUUUUCACAAAGAUUGUUUAAGUAAAUAUCAAAGUCAUGAUCCCGUUGGUCCCAUAAUUGACCAUAUGCACGAUUAUUUCCUGGUUGUAGAUAAGUCAGCUCAGUCAUUUCCGGUCAACUGUACUGUGCCGAAAGGGGAACGUCCUUUGCUCGGUUUCUCUACAUAAUCCAUUAAUAAUUUGGAGAUAAAUUUUAUUUGUCUAAGAGGACC